CUGGAUGCCAGGAGAAAUAUAAUUAAAUACCGAAGACUUUCAUGGAGGAAAAUCACUGCAGCGUUGAAAGCGUCACGACAUCCCAUCUUGCCUUUGCCGAGAGCUCCAACGCAUGAUUUAAUUAUUCCGACUCUACGCCGGGAGAAAUAAAAAGGAGAGAUCCUGAAGACCUUCGAACAAGGAAACCGCCGACGAUUUGCGUGGCGCAAUUCCUGACAACAAUUGCUUUCCUUUCCUUCUACCCUCAAGACGACAACAGAGAAGAGAUAGAAAGCCUACAUUCUAAUUGAAUGGAAGAGGGAAAUGCCGGCGAUUGGCAGAAAGCAUUGAGAGAGUUUUCCCUCGGGAGGUAUCGCUGAUUUUUCCACUCUCGGUUGAUCGAGUUCUCCAGGAAGAAAGCAGGAUAUAUAUUGAGUUUCGCCGUGAGUCCUCCACCCUCUUCGGGGAGUAUUUCGGGGCGAAGGUGCAGUCCCGGAUACACGUAUACGGCGGUCUCUCUUUUGUGUCCAUCGGGAGAACAAGGAGGGAGCGGAGGAGCCAAAGGAUCCCCCUCGUCGAGGCCUCUCCCAUUUCUUGGACUUGGAUCUCUCCUCUGAUCCCCCCUUGCCCUCCGCAUCAACUUCCGCGAGUGCUCCCGGCCCUGUACACGCGUACCGAGGAGAUGUACCGAGUCCGGCUCGUUAGUCUCCCCGGUACUCGCGAUCGAGGUAAUUACCGUGCAAAGAGGGCUCCCUACGCCUCCUUGCGAGGCCCGACUCGGCGACAUCGCCGUCAUCUUCUGGCGACGCAUCGGAUUUAAAUUAGGCUCGUUAAUGCCCCUGUAACGAGGUGAGCGAUAAAAAAAAUUUCAAUUAAAUAAAUACGUGCAGAAUGUCACUGACGACCGAAUGAAAUUAUCGUUCGCCGAUAAUAAAUCAGGAAAAAUUGAUAUCUCAAAGGACUCGAUUUUGGCCUGAUUUCCAA